CCCGGACUUUUUACGUAAGGUGACAUAUCUGUGCUGGAAUCAUCACAAGGAGAUACGUCAAAUUGACACCGUCCGUGCAUACACCUUUGGGUCACAUUACUUUGCAGAAGUCGAUAUUGUGCUGGCAGCAGACAUGCCUCUGCGCCAGGCACAUGAUAUUGGCGAAUCACUUCAAGACAAACUUGAGUCGCUACCGGAGAUUGAACGAGCUUUUGUUCACCUCGAUUACGAGGUUACUCAUCGACCGGAGCAUGCCUACAGAGAUAAGUGACGAUGCACUAGGCACACCAAUCCUGGCUUCGAGUCAGCCUUGCCAAGCAAACAACUCCACCCAACUGAUUGCCCCCCUCCCUCUGAAUGAUCUGAACUUCUUAGACUUCAUAACAAAAAGGACUAUCACUGUAAAUACCUGCUGCCCUCUCAAAACAAGAGAUAGGUCCCACAACACGCAGUUUUCAAACCAACUACCUUAAUAAAUGGUUGUGAAUCCAACACAAGCAAAGGAAAGGCAUACCAAAUGCCAUGAUCAAACGCAUCCGAGAAGUACCACAAGGGCUUCGAAAUCAGAUGGAAAACCUAGCGGCAGAAAACAAAUCAGGUUCGAUGUAACGACCAGCAUGUGAUUGAACAUGUCCACUUAAUACGAUUGAUGUAACCAAAUGCUCCAUAAACAGUCAAUAAACUUGGUUAGACGGACACGCUAGUUGCAUAUCCUCGAAUUGCCCGCGGAUGAUGAUGUGCGCUGUGUGCAUCACUUGUGAUGUCGGAGGAAGGAGUGAGCGACUGCGGGAGGUGUUGGGGGCAACGGAGCGGUGUGGUUGAGCGGGUCACCUCAUGUGGAACGGGGUGUUGUCAACAGAGAGGAAGGUCACCUUUUGGAUAGAGCUGUUUGAAUGUGUGCACAGUUGUUGACAUGACCGGAGAGCGGAGUUGAGAAUGCGUGGGGUGAUUGGAGUGAACGUUUGGGGGCUCGUGGAAGGAGCGUGGUCCAUCCCAACCAUGGUGGAGCGCAGCGGCGGCAAAUGCAGAAACGGCUCCGAGGAAAAGAAGGUGAUGGUGAGACCUGGACAGUGGGCGCAUCUGGGAGUGGGAUUACAGCCAGGAUGGAGCCAAAUACAUGGAUUCCGUCAAGGCAGCCAGGGGUGGCGCGGAGGGAACGAGGGACAAAAGCAGUCCCAGGACCGAAAGCCGGGACAGAAUCCGGUGGAAAGGGAGCGCUGGGGGAAGGGGGCAAGGGAUUUGCGACGGCGCAUGGGCCACUCAGCGGGGUCAGAGGGGGCGGCGGUGAGUGGUGCCUGGGGCGGGAUUGGGUUGAUAUUGAGAACCGGAUGAGAGACGUGCAUCGCCGUGGGAUCCGUGGCGCAAUGGUAGCGCGUCUGACUCCAGAUCAGAAGGUUGCGUGUUCGAUUCACGUCGGGUUCAAACUCCCGAAGGAAAUGGUGACCACCCUGCGGCCUCCCUAGUUCGCUUCGCCCCUGGCCCACCCUGAGCGGGGGGGUCUGAUUGUGGUCGGUCGAGGGGCGCUGACCGUGUGGCCCAAUGGAUAAGGCGCUUGCCUACGGAGCAAGAGAUUCUGGGUUCGAUCCCCAGCAUGGUCGUGGGUCGCCGGAAUUGUAGAUUGUGGCGCGUGUCAAUUUGGCCGAGUGGUUAAGGCGGCAGACUCGAAAUCUGCUGGGGUUUCCCCGCGCAGGUUCAAAUCCUGCAGUUGACGACUCCGCCGCUGCCCAUUGUUUCUCCUCCCCUUCCGCACUCUCGUUUUCGUGCCCCGCGCCCCCCUUCUCGAUUUUCCCUUCUCUUGAAUUACCCCAUUCUCCAGUUCUUUCGAUGCGAACCUCCUUCGGCUCAUUCCAUUUCCAUGCAGCAAAUGCCAUUUCAAUGAUUAAGCACUCCUUUCCAACACAUAACCUUCUCACAUUUCAUCCAAUAUGCACAACUCUUCUCUAACCAUCUUCAUUCCAAUUUACAAGCUGAGAGUGAUUUAUUUAAUUCCAAUUUACAAGCUGAGAGUGAUUUAUUUAAUUCCAAUUUACAAGCUGAGAGUGAUUUAUUUAAUUCCAAUUUACAAGCUGAGAGUGAUUUAUUUAAUUCCAAUUUACAAGCUGAGAGUGAUUUAUUUAAUUCCAAUUUACAAGCUGAGUGAUUUGUAUAGUUCCUAGUGUUAAAUACUCUUGACAAACUUUUAAUGACAAUUUCUAGUAUUGGCCCCCUCCUCUCUUAUGUUGGCACUACACUCUUUGUAAUAGAAAUUAUUAACAUAGUAGAUAAUCCGUAUCAUGCAAGAAAAUAAAAAAAAAAAGAAACAAGGUUGCAAGAGCUUGAAUAAGAAGUCACAAAGUUUGCUUUUGUGAUUCUUAAAAUGAUAUCUUGUAUAUCAAGGAUGGUUGGAUGUCAUGAAGAAAGUUGGAAGUUUUGUAUUGGUUAUUAAAUUAAAUUCUCAUGAUAAAAUACAUCUUAGUAGUGGAGAAAAUUUAUUGUUUUAGUUUAGUGACCAUAUUUUUCAAGUUGAGUGUUACCUUUGAUAGCAUGGAAAGAAUAGAAAUCCUUAUUUUUAACUACAAAUUUUUUUUGACUACAAUUAUAUUUUUAAUUUCUACUAUUAAGAAGAAAUUAUUUACGAAGUGUUGUAAUUUACAUUUAUUCAUCUUCACAAUGUUGGAAUUUGAGUUGAAGUAUUUGAUAUCUAUUUAGAAUCUUUUGAUGUCAAAUAGAUAUAUUAGUUACAAAGUAUGCCAUAUUGUUCGGAUUAAAGUUUGUUGUUGGAAAAAUUUGUAUCUUUUAGCAACUAGAAUAUUUAAUCACAUAUAAUAUAGUCGAAGAUAGUGUAAAUGCUCAAAUUGUUUCUUUUGAAUGAAUUCUUAGAUUGUCAUAGAUUAAAAGUACAAAAAAGUAGAAGAAAUUGUAAUUGAAAGCACUAAAUUAUGUAUUAUGAAAUAAUUAAGGAUGCAAUAGAAUAAUUUGCAAGACCAAUGCUAAAUAAGAAGCAAUUCAUAAAAGAUUAUAGAAAGAAGGAUUCUUUCACAAACUAGCAAAUAGAAUUGUCACAAAUACAUUGUUAUGAUUAAAAAUGAUAAUAUUUAUAUAAGUAUUGUGGUAAUUGAGCUUAUUUAGAUUUAUUAUGUAAAAAUUGCUAGCUUAUGAAGCCUCAGCUUGAUAUUGUAGUCUUUUGAGAAAAACUAAUAAUAUAUAUCAAAUCAUAAGACUGUCCAAAUAACUUGGUGAUUCAAAAAAGGGUUUUUUUUCCUAAUCACUUUUAAAGUGUCUUUGCAUUGAGUGAGAAGGCGACUUAAAUUUUAAGCCUUGAUUUUGCAAUAAUAAGAAAGAAUAUACUUCCAAAGUGUAUUGCUAUUGAUUCUAUACUAUGUUUAUACAUUAUCAUCUUAUUUUUAAUAAUUUUUUAAGCAUUCUUAAUAUUAUAUAUAAUUAAUUGGAUUUUUCAACCUAUAACAACGUGUAAUUUUUUAGAAUCCAUUUGCAAUACAUCUAUUAGAAUAAUAUGUUCUAAAAAUUUGACUUAAAUUGUGUUAAUGGAAAAUCUUUUAAUGAAGAUGUGUAAUCUUACAUCUCUGAUUUUUUACAAUAUGGUAGUCAUAUCAUUUUGAUUCUUUAAUGCUAUUAUAAUAAAUUAAAAUAUCAUGCAGCUUAUUUAUAAAAAAGUAAUCUUUUAUAUUUAAAAAAUAUAAAUUAUCAAAUGCCAAAAUAUUAUUGUAUUAUAAUUAAAAAUAAAAAUAAUAUUAUAUUUUUAAUGGCCAUAUGUAAUUGUUAAGGACUUGAACUACAAACAACAAAUUUUUCAACACACUUUUGUAUCAUUCAAGUAUAGUAGAUAUUUACUCAAAGUUAGUAUUGUAUUAAAACUAGAAUGAUUGUUUUCAUAGAUAAGAAUAUUAAAGACUUUUGAAAGAAGAUUAAAGAUAAGAAAAGCAUUGACAAGAGUAAAGAAGAUUUUAUUCUUUCUUCCAUAUAUACUAUAUACCUAAGAGCUAUUUGGUUAUUUUCAUAGAUAUUGUUAAUGAAAAGCAUUAACUUUCUUUGCUAUAUUUGCAAGUUUUUUGGGUAGCUUUCAUAUCCAUUUACUAAUACCAUAUCCUUGCUAUGAAAAAAAUACUUCAACUUAUUUUGGUGUUAUCUUAAAUCUAAGACUUCUUCAAAAUCAAAUUCUUAAUUAUUAUCUUUUUUAAUAAGAAGAAGUAUUAUUUGUCUUUUUCUAAAUACAUCCACUUUCUUAUAUGACUAAAAAAAAAACAUAUCAAAUUCAUGAUGGAUCUUUAUGGACUUAAAUAGGUGUAUUCAAUAUGCAACUACAUUGAUCUAUUCACAAAUAAAAAAUAGUUGAAGUCUUUGAUAAUCUAACUUCUCAAAACAUUUAUUAGUCUUGAUGUUACAAAAAAAUAACCAUGCCAUAUUGUCGAUGUAGAGUUGGAGUUGUUUCUUGCAAUAAGUAUAUGUAUUCAUCUUUUGUUAUUCUUAAGCUUCUUUUAAUUAAGUCUUCAUUAUUGCAUGUAGCUUUGAUGAAUGAUUUCUCAAAUCUUUUGCAAUUAAGUCCCUCUAUCAGAUAUAAUAACUUUUAAUAAUCUAUAAUAGCAAUAAAUAUGACUAAAAAAAUAUAUAAUUAUUUUUUUACUAAAAAUAGUUUUUAUACAUAGUAUAAAAUAUACUAUCUUAGUAAAAAAUCUACUAUUAUAAAUAUAAAAUAAUAUAAACUUAAAAUUAAAAUAUUUGUAAAUUUUUUUAUAAAAAAAAAAAAAGACCAUGAUUUUUGUGGUAUUGGUAACAGCUAAAAAAGUCUAUAAGGUCAAUGAUAAGAAGUUUUAAAUCUUAAACAAACAUCACACGUUUGUACAAAUUUUUUUAUCUCCUUCUACAUUUGAAGCCAUUAAAAAAAAUUGAUAUUAAUUUCAAGAUCUUGUUGUAUUUAAAAUAUUUCUAAUUAUAAAAUCUUGACAAGUUGAAACAAUACAAAUUCAUAUUUCAUUUUGUGGAAGAUAUAAGCAUAUUUAAAAAAAUAUAUUUUGAGCUUAAACUAAAAAAUAUUAUGAGAUUUAGAAGGAUUAUUUUUAAUAUCAUGAAUAAGAAGAUUUAAGGACAUACUUGAUUGAACUUGCUUAAAAAAACUAAAUCAACAAUUAAUAUUUAUUUUAUUACUUAAAAAAGAUAUAAUUCUUAUUUUAGAAGAAUUAUUUAUUAUUGAUCAAAACUUGAAAUUUUUUCUUUUUGUGUAAGAUAAAAGAAUCUAAAAAGGCUGUCUAAUAAAUCUUAUUAUUUUUCUAAUCAAUAAGUAAUCUUAAAUUCGAAUUUUGGAAAAAUUACAUGCUCCAAUGAACUUAAUGAUAAUUUAAAAUAUAUGCUUAUAUGAGAUACUUGAGAUUCUUAUUAUUUUUAUAUAUGAUGAUUGAACUUGAAUUAUUUAUACAUGUAAAAAAUAUGAUAUUAUAUUCAAAAUGACCAUGCUUUAUUGAAAAUGUACUCUUUUAUUCAUGUUUUUUUUAAUGAAUUUCUAAUUAUAUAUUUAUCAUAGAUUUAUUUUUGUAAAGAUCUUUUUUUAAUUCAAUUGAUUAAAAAGUCUUAAUAUCAAAGAUAAAGAAUAUUUAUUUUUUAUGAUAAUCUUAUUAAAUUAUCAAUAAUACAUUUACAUCCAUAAUUUUUUUUUUUUUUUUUUUUUUGUUACAUAUAAAAUAAGAAUUCUUAUUGGAACUAUUAAAUGCCAUACAAAAUUCUUAAAUAAUUUUUUGGUCAAUGUAUUCUUCAAAUGCAACUAAUUUAUUUUGUGAUAAACUAUAGAUUGAACAAAAUAGAAAUUGAGCUUCUUCUUAAAGAUCAAUUAAGCAAUCAUAUUAAAAAUGAUUUGAAAGAAUAAAUGUAUUUUUUAAAAAAAUAUCUUGAUUGUUUAAAAAUUAACUUAAAAUACCAUUUAAAGUUUUUUUACUAUAAAAAAUAAAUAUGGUUUAAAUAGCAAAACUUGACACUUCUUUUGCAACAUGCAUAAAUGCUUAUACACCUAUCAAUAAAAAUUUGACUAUAUUAAAUUUAUAAUUUUUUAAUUAAAUAAAAAAUAAUAUAUUGUAUUACAAAAAAACUCAUGAUUAUAAGAAAUUAAAUCUAUUUAAUAGUAUUAUUUUUCUAGCCAAAAUAAACCUAAAAUUAAUAGAUUUGAAGAACAUAUAAUCAUAUUACAUACUAUUAAAUUAUUUUAUUCAUUAGUUUCUACAUCUAAAACAAUAAUUCCAUAAACAAUUGUCAAAGACAAGAACUCAAUGAAUGCAAAUAAAUAAGUAAGUUUUCUUUCAAAAAAAGAUAAAAAAUAAAAAAAAAUAAAAAAAAAUAUUUAUUUCCAAAAGAAAUUUGAGUAGCUAUUGUUAAAAGACAAAAAAAAAAAUUAGAGAUCCUUGAAAUUAGACUAAAAGCAAGAAAGAUAUUGAUAAUAAUUCAAAAGGCUUCACUUUUUCUUCUAUAUAUACUAUCUAACUAGGAGUUACAUGGCAAUACUAUAUGAAAUCUCUAGCAUGUAUUCAAUUUUUAUGAUACAUGUCUAAUUUGUAAAAGAAGUUUUUUAUACAUGCAUUGCAUGAUAAGCUUGUAUUACUAGCUAUCAAUAGGUGCAACAUGUGGCUAAUUUUUUGGCCAAGUUUUCAACCUAUCAAUUAACUACAAACAUAUAUAAAAUUAAAGCCAUAUCUAUGAGGCUUCUAAAAAGGCUUCUCUAUGAUUUCUACAUGCAGGAACAUAUAUUUUUUUUAAAAUAAAUAUAAUUCUUAUUUUUUAAGAAAGUCUGUUUCUAAAAGAAAGUAAGGUUCUUGAAUCUAAUAAAGCAAAGACUUUAUAAUUUUUUGGUCCUAAAAAAAUAUCUAUUAUAUUAUAAGGUGAUGGAUUUGAAUAGAGAAUAGGAUCUUUAGUUGGUGUUGUAUAAGAUUUCAAUUGCACGGUUCCUACUAUAGUUGAAAAAACUUAUUUUUGGAUAUUUUUUCUUCUUUAGUAAAUAUGUUCUUUAUUUUAUAAUUUUUUUGCUUCUUUGAAUAAUGUUGAGUAAUGUGCUUAGGUUCUCUAUAAUAUAAGUACAAACAUUCUUGAAGAUAUUAACUCUUUUCUUGCUUAAAAAGAUAUUUAAAAUAUACUAUAUCAAUUUGCUUAGAUUUCCACCUUGAUAAAUAGGUUUCUUAAAUUUUAAGAAUUUUAAUUAUGACUUGAUUAUUUCUUUUAAAACCAAAUCUUUGUUCUUGGUAUUAUAAAACAAAUUCAAAUGUUCCAUGUAGUAGCUUAAGCAAUAAAAUAUUUCAAUGUGUUUAUUUUCAAUAAAUUCAACAAAUAAAUUCAACAAAUAAAUUCAACCAACUUCUAGGCUUAGGCUACAAUAAAACCUUUUUAAUAGUCAUUUACAUACAAUCAAUUUGACUCAUGUUUGCUUUAACAGUUCAACUUAAUUUUUAUGUACAUCAAAUGAACAUUAAAACAACAUUCUUAAAUAGAUCUUUUUAAGAAGAAAUAUAUAUAUAUAUAUAUAUAUAUAUAUAUAUAGAAUAAGUAGUUAUUUUACAGAAUGAAGAUACCUAGUGUAUAGUAUAAACAGGGAUAGAUAACUACUGAAAAAGUGGUUCAACAGGUAGAAUGGAUGAAUAGUUAGAAAAAGUAAUUAUCAUCUAUAGUAUAGGAGUUGAUAUCUCCGGAUAAUAUAAGGAAGAUGGGAGAGAGGAAGAAAAUGCCAGAGUGCGAAAGUACUAAGCCGGGAAAAGCUUGAUGCUAUUUCUUCUUCUUAGUUUUCUUAUUUCUUAUGUGUUAGUGUUGAUUCUAGUGAAGAGAAUCGAUUUAAUGAAUCAAUGUUUGAUUUAUGAAGUUGUUUAUGGAUCACUGUUUAUCAAUUGUUGUGAAAGAUUGAGGAUGUAUGGAAGUUUCCAGUCACUGUUUAUCGCAAGGCUGUAAGUUCAAUGGAGAGGAAUUGUAAUCGAAGGAAUUACCUUGAUCAGAUUCUAUGGAUUGGAAGUUCCAUGGUUUGGGUUAUGCUUGUGUGUUUGUAAAUUACACAGGGUACUGAAAUUGAUGUCGUGAUUGUUACCGUAUUGAUAUGAGAGAGUGGACAAUAGGAGAAAAAGUCAAUUGUUCUUUUGUAUUGUAAGCAUUCAGCAAUAGAGGUUAAUUGUAGGACCUUAACAAUUGGAGCUCAUAUACAUGGUCUUUCUUUGAGUUCGAAUUCUACUAUAUGGAUUUAUUUUGGGAGGUUUCUUCUGGAAUAACUAAAAUGACAACCACAAUAUAUAUAUAUAUAUAUAUAUAUAUAUAUAUAUAUAUAAAGGUCUUAGAUAAAGUCAUUUUUUACAACUUGGUAUGAUGUAACACCUUCACAAAACCAUUUAUGAAUUAAAACAAACACCCAAGGAAUAGUUCAAGAUAAUCAAUACAUUUCUCGAUACUCUUGAAUUUAUAAAUUUAACAACUGAUGGUAGCAUAUAUUAUCUUCAUUAUAGAUCAAAGUUUAUCAUUCUCAUCGUAUAUAUAGAUGAUAUCAUUAUUGCUAAUAAUAGCUUUUUAUUGCUUCAUAAAAUAAAAAUAUAAUUUUACUUCCACUUCUUAUACUUUGAUCUGGGAGAAGUUUAUCAAAUAAAUACCUAAAAGUCUUUACUUUUAUCUUCCAAAUAAUCUCUAAUAUACUACAAUCUAUAUAAAAUGUAUACACAUAACAUCCUACUACUACAACUACUAUUAUAGCUAUUUAUAAUUCUUGUCUUUUUUAAUAAAAUUUAUUUUAUGAAAUUUGACAUGUCUAUAAUGUUUAAAAAAAAAACCUAAAUAGUCUAGAAUCCAUAAGAUGCCUUUUAAUCUUCUUCCAACUUUCUAUAAUAGCUUCUAAAAUUGGUAAAACUAUUUUUACUAAAAUCUUUAAAAUAGAUUUUUAAAAUAUUUAGAAAACAUCGAAUUAAUGUGAAAUAAUUGCUUUGGAAUCUUUUUAUGAUAUUAUAAUGUUAAUAUUAAAUUAAAGAUACUUUAUCAUAUCUAAAAAUAUUUUAGAAUAAUAAAACUAAUAUAAAUCAACUAAUAAUUAUAGAAUCUACAUAAUCACUUAAAAAUAAGAUUCUUCAAUAAAAUUUAUAUUCCUAAUGUGUAUCAUUUAUAAGUUUAUAAAAAACUAUAAGAAACAAAAGAUAUUUUUAAACAUUAGUCUCAUAUUUAAAUACAUAUUACUAAAAAUAAGAAAAAAUAAAAAUACUACAAAUAAGAAAAAACAAAAGUACUAAAAUAACUAAGAUAAUUGCCUUCAAGACAUACUAAGAUUCUAUUUUAUUAGUUUUUAACUUAAUAAGAAUAUUUUGUCUCCUAAAAUCUUCUAAAUCCUAAAUGAUACUUAAGUAGUUAAAAAAACCUAACAAAUUAAUAUAUUCAUGAUCAUCCAAAAUGAAUAAAUAAUUUGUGAUUCAUUCAUAUAUUAGGUUUGUUUACAAAGGUCACAUUCAAAAACUUUCAAUAGUGAAAAUCUAUUUGUAUUUCUUCUAAGUGUAAUAUGUUAGGUUUUUUAUCUUAAUUCCAUCUACUUAAUUAACCAUCAGAAUUAAACUUAAUGAACAACACAAAACUUCCAACUUUCUUCAUGACAUCCAACCAUCCUUGAUAUACAAGAUAUCAUUUUAAGAAUCACAAAAGCAAACUUUGUGACUUCUUAUUCAAGCUCUUGCAACCUUGUUUCUUUUUUUUUUUUAUUAUUUUCUUGCAUGAUACGGAUUAUCUACUAUGUUAAUAAUUUCUAUUACAAAGAGUGUAGUGCCAACAUAAGAGAGGAGGGGCCAAUACUAGAAAUUGUCAUUAAAAGUUUGUCAAGAGUAUUUAACACUAGGAACUAUACAAAUCACUCAGCUUGUAAAUUGGAAUUAAAUAAAUCACUCUCAGCUUGUAAAUUGGAAUUAAAUAAAUCACUCUCAGCUUGUAAAUUGGAAUUAAAUAAAUCACUCUCAGCUUGUAAAUUGGAAUUAAAUAAAUCACUCUCAGCUUGUAAAUUGGAAUUAAAUAAAUCACUCUCAGCUUGUAAAUUGGAAUGAAGAUGGUUAGAGAAGAGUUGUGCAUAUUGGAUGAAAUGUGAGAAGGUUAUGUGUUGGAAAGGAGUGCUUAAUCAUUGAAAUGGCAUUUGCUGCAUGGAAAUGGAAUGAGCCGAAGGAGGUUCGCAUCGAAAGAACUGGAGAAUGGGGUAAUUCAAGAGAAGGGAAAAUCGAGAAGGGGGGCGCGGGGCACGAAAACGAGAGUGCGGAAGGGGAGGAGAAACAAUGGGCAGCGGAGUCGUCAACUGCAGGAUUUGAACCUGCGCGGGGAAACCCCAGCAGAUUUCGAGUCUGCCGCCUUAACCACUCGGCCAAAUUGACACGCGCCACAAUCUACAAUUCCGGCGACCCACGACCAUGCUGGGGAUCGAACCCAGAAUCUCUUGCUCCGUAGGCAAGCGCCUUAUCCAUUGGGCCACACGGUCAGCGCCCCUCGACCGACCACAAUCAGACCCCCCCGCUCAGGGUGGGCCGGGGGCGAAGCGAACUAGGGAGGCCGCAGGGUAGUCACCAUUUCCUUCGGGAGUUUGAACCCGACGUGAAUCGAACACGCAACCUUCUGAUCUGGAGUCAGACGCGCUACCAUUGCGCCACGGAUCCCACGGCGAUGCACGUCUCUCAUCCGGUUCUCAAUAUCAACCCAAUCCCGCCCCAGGCACCACUCACCGCCGCCCCCUCUGACCCCGCUGAGUGGCCCAUGCGCCGUCGCAAAUCCCUUGCCCCCUUCCCCCAGCGCUCCCUUUCCACCGGAUUCUGUCCCGGCUUUCGGUCCUGGGACUGCUUUUGUCCCUCGUUCCCUCCGCGCCACCCCUGGCUGCCUUGACGGAAUCCAUGUAUUUGGCUCCAUCCUGGCUGUAAUCCCACUCCCAGAUGCGCCCACUGUCCAGGUCUCACCAUCACCUUCUUUUCCUCGGAGCCGUUUCUGCAUUUGCCGCCGCUGCGCUCCACCAUGGUUGGGAUGGACCACGCUCCUUCCACGAGCCCCCAAACGUUCACUCCAAUCACCCCACGCAUUCUCAACUCCGCUCUCCGGUCAUGUCAACAACUGUGCACACAUUCAAACAGCUCUAUCCAAAAGGUGACCUUCCUCUCUGUUGACAACACCCCGUUCCACAUGAGGUGACCCGCUCAACCACACCGCUCCGUUGCCCCCAACACCUCCCGCAGUCGCUCACUCCUUCCUCCGACAUCACAAGUGAUGCACACAGCGCACAUCAUCAUCCGCGGGCAAUUCGAGGAUAUGCAACUAGCGUGUCCGUCUAACCAAGUUUAUUGACUGUUUAUGGAGCAUUUGGUUACAUCAAUCGUAUUAAGUGGACAUGUUCAAUCACAUGCUGGUCGUUACAUCGAACCUGAUUUGUUUUCUGCCGCUAGGUUUUCCAUCUGAUUUCGAAGCCCUUGUGGUACUUCUCGGAUGCGUUUGAUCAUGGCAUUUGGUAUGCCUUUCCUUUGCUUGUGUUGGAUUCACAACCAUUUAUUAAGGUAGUUGGUUUGAAAACUGCGUGUUGUGGGACCUAUCUCUUGUUUUGAGAGGGCAGCAGGUAUUUACAGUGAUAGUCCUUUUUGUUAUGAAGUCUAAGAAGUUCAGAUCAUUCAGAGGGAGGGGGGCAAUCAGUUGGGUGGAGUUGUUUGCUUGGCAAGGCUGACUCGAAGCCAGGAUUGGUGUGCCUAGUGCAUCGUCACUUAUCUCUGUAGGCAUGCUCCGGUCGAUGAGUAACCUCGUAAUCGAGGUGAACAAAAGCUCGUUCAAUCUCCGGUAGCGACUCAAGUUUGUCUUGAAGUGAUUCGCCAAUAUCAUGUGCCUGGCGCAGAGGCAUGUCCGCUGCCAGCACAAUAUCGACUUCUGCAAAGUAAUGUGACCCAAAGGUGUAUGCACGGACGGGGUCAAUUUGAGGCAUCUCCUACUGAUGAUUCCAGAAUAGAUAUGUCACCUCACGUAAUAUGUCUGUGGAGGAGAGGCUGAUCGACUACCCAAUGCGGUCCCAUUUUCUAGAACUGGUAGCGACCACGUCCGUGUACUUUUGUAACGUACAUUGAUUCUAUAAAGCAGAAAUACUUGUUUUUGCUUGAUGUCUCUAUAUAUUCACUUUAUUCCACAAUGUUACUUUAGCCAUAGUAACAUUGCUUGUUUGUGUGCUUGUUGUUUAAACCACAGAACUUUCUAUUUUGGUAAGGAAUUAGAAUCUAAGAUAUUGUUGUACUUUUAAUAUUUCAAUUCCAUACAUAAAAAGAUUUUGGAAUAAUUUUGGAAAGAAAUUGAGUUGAGUAUCCCAUUAAUUUUUGUUUAAGAAUCAAUGUUUAAGAAUCAAUGUUAUUAGUCAAUUCUACCUAAAGUCCAUAGAAAUGUUGAAGGUCUUUGUCAAUUAUGUUUUUGGCUUCAACUUUGAUAACUAUUUUUAUAAUCUUAGCAAUGCAAAUUGAUUUUUGUGUCUUAUAGAUCUUUUCUAUUUUUUUAAAGUUGUGUUUACCAUUUUUUAAAUGUAGAAUUAAUAAAUGAAAUUUUUUGACUUAUAAAAUGUAUAUAUUAAGUUGUGUUGACAAUGUGGCUACUAACUCUUUUUUGCCAUGCAUGCACCUCUAUAAUAUGGUACUAUGUCAAUUAAAACAAGUGAGCUUUUUUAUAUAUUUUUUUCUUCUUAUUUUAGACUUUAGUCCACUUUUAUAAUUAAUUGAAAGAUAAAAUUCUUUCCAAUUUUAUUAUAACAACAUUUCAAAUGAUGUCUUGUUUUUGCAAUAUCAAGUAAUUUAGUUAUCUAUAUAAUAUAUAAAUAGGAUCUAAUUAGACUAUAGAUAUUUAUUUGAGUUUCUAAUGAGAUAAUAUGUCUUUGUGUAAUUUAAAAGGGAGACUUGCAUCUUUGGACCUUAUCUAAUAAGUUUAAUUCUUAUUGAUUUGAGUAGAUCAAAGACAUUGGUCACAAAAGUACUUCCUUUUGCUUCCUACGUCUUAUAUUGUGACUCUUAUUUGUUUGUGAUUUUAGCCAAGCUAUUAGUACUAUACAUAAUAUAGGCUUUGAUCUAAAUUAAAAUCUAUAGUUUAUUGAUACUAAUAUUGGUUUAGAACUUUAUAAUAUUUUGAUGUUUUAUUUUUAAAUUCUAUAUAAUCUUUUGUCAUGGAUAUACAUAUUUAUUCUAAUAUUUACCAAUAUAAUUAAGUAGAAAUAGAUAAAAAUAGAUUUAUUUCAUAAUAUUUUUUAAAAAAGCUUCAUAGAUACUAUUUUUACUUUAAAUAUAUUUUUAGUUGAUUGAUAGGUUAGAAACUUAGUUAAUAAGUUAAUUACAUGUUAGUAGCUUACAAAACAAGCUAAUAAUAUGGCACACAUAUAAAACAAAAUUGUCUUGCAAGUUAAGAUAUGUAUCUUGCAAAGUCAAUAUGUUUUAGAGGUCCUAUAUGAUAUCAACACAUAGCUCCUAGUUAAGAAUAUAUAUGGAAGUAAGAGUGAAGUCUUUUUCACUCCUAUCAACGCCUUUCUAGUCCUUAGUCUUGUUUUAAGACUUUCUAAUCUUCUUGUCUUGGGCAAUAACCAUUCUAGUUUAAUACUAUAUCAUCUUCAAGUGAUUUUCUAAUCUUUUUAAAUGACACAAGAGUGUAUUGAGGUUUUCUUUCUUUGAGAUUCAUGUCCUUUACAUCUCCUCUAUAGAUCACUCACAUCCAUUCUUUAAUUUUUAUUCAUGAAUUUGAAAUUGAUAGGAGAUGGUGUUAUUAUUGAAUAAAUUUGAUGGUAAACACUUUUUAAGCACCAAACUUUGCCAUAAUGAGUCCAAAUUUCUAUUGUACCUCCAAAAUAUAAAAGAAUUAAAAAAAUGUAAAAAAAUCUAUAUAUUUUUAUACAUAUAUAGUUUAUUUCUAUAUAAAUUAUCUAUAUUAGAUUUUAAAAAUCAAAGAUAGAUGGUUGGAAUUAAAAAAUAAUACUAUAUAUUUAAUUAAGAAAUUUAUUGCAACAAGUAAGAAAAAUUUAAGUAGAAUUAGGAAAAAGGGUCUUUCUUGCUACCAAAAUCUUAUACCACAUAAUAAACUUUUAUUAGCUUUGAUGUUCUAUAAUAAUAUAGAAUUUUAAUCUUUAUUUCUAUUAUUUAUUUUUACAAGUGAUUUAAACAUUAAUGCUACUAUAGCUUUACUUAAGCUAAUAAGAUUGGUCUUGUCUUUAUUGAUGGAUUAACAAUAUUAUAACCAUCCAAUAUUGGUUAAAGUACGUUGCAUUGUCAUGUGGUAGCAUGGCUAUAUAGUAAAAAAUAAAAAUAUAGAUAUUAUUAUAAAAGAGCCUAAUAAAAAGAUGUAGUAGAAAAAUAAGGAUAAAUAAUAGAAAGAGAGUAAUAGAUUUAGUCUUAAUAUUACUUUUUGUAAAAGGAAUACUUCUAUUUACUUUGUAGAUGCAUAAAUAAGCCAAAUCAAAGUAAAUAAGAUAAGAAAUUGAUAUAGACAUGUUUAAGAAAGAGUUAAUAUAAGAUUAAAGUAAAACUUAAAUCACAUUACCAAAAAUUAAUGCCUACAAAGGACCAAAUAUUAAUUUGGAUCAAAAUCAAAUCUUGAUGUACAAAACUAUCUCUAUAUAAUGAAUUUAGGAUUUGUUUGUAGAUUAGAGAAUAAAAUACAAGAAAAAACUAGAGGAGAGAUUUUUUAGCAUUGGUUUCAUGUUAUUUGGAUCAAUAUUAAGAUUUUGAGGAAUUUUUAAAAUUCAUAAUAUUCUUAGUAGGUUUAGGUUUUAAAAAAAAUAAUUGUUUAUAAAUUUGAAGGUUUCUUGAGUUUUGUGGUGUAUAUAUGAGUGAAAUUUGGGAAAUAUAUUGGUGUGCUUGUUUUGAAUGAGUAUGCAAAUUUUGAGAUUGAUUGAAUAGUUAGAUUGAAGUAUAUGAGGGUUUUUAUAGGUUGAGGUCUCAAAAAUUGGAGUUUGAAGGUCAAUGAGUGUUUCUAAGAUCAUCAGCAAUUUUUUAAUUGGAUUGAAGUGAAUUUUUUUUGUAUAGACAGUAGACUCAAUUUCUAAGGUUUAGGUGGGAUUUAAGAAUAGUUUAAUAAUUCAAAAAGAAGAUAUUAGAGCUAGAAUUUUAGCAUUAAGGUUAAAAUAGGAGGCUACUCAACAUCCAAUUGGAUUAUCUUGCAUCUCUCUCAAUUGAUAAGUGCAAUCGAUUUCAUCUUUCUUAUGCUUUUUUUUAACUUAGACAUUAAGAAGUGUACAAAUUUUGAAUUGAUAUUAAUAUUUUGAUCAUUAAUUUUUGAGAUUUCAAUCAUCUAAAGGAUUUGUUAAGAAUUCGUUUAAGAUUUAGAAUUUAAUUAGGAUUUGCUUAGGAUUUGGUUAAGGAUUUGUUUAUGAUUUAGGAUUUAUUAAGAUUUUAUUAGGAUUUGAUCUAGGAUUUGGUUAAGGUUUAAUUAGGAUUUCAAUUAAGAUUUGAUUUAAGAUUAAUUUAGAUUUAUUAGAAUUUUAAUUAAGAUUAAAUUAGUAUUUUAUUAGGAUUCAUUUAUGAUUUAUGAUUUUUAUUAUUUCUUUAAGAUUCUAUAUUUUUUCUUCAAAAGUUUUAUUUCUAAUAUUUUUUUAAUAUAUAUAUAUAUAUAUAUAUAUAUAUAUAUAUAUAUAUAUACUUUAUUUUAAAGAUUAAUUUAGGACUUAUAUGUAUUUUUUUUUACAACUUCUUUUAAAUUUAUCUUAGAUUGGUUAAAAUUUGAUUAGAAUUAUUAAGAUUUACUUAAAGUUUAUUUGAAAUUCUAUUAAACUUGGUAGGAUUUUUGUUGCAUUUCUAUUUAUCUUCCAUAGUUAGGUGCUUGGUACAUUCUCAAGCAAGAAUACACAUAAUACAACAACGUAGUCUUAUCUGCAAUGUAAUUUUUAAAUGAUGCUUUAAUCUUUGUUUUUGUUUUUUUGUACCUUUUUAAAUUAACAUGAAAAAAUUUAUUAUUGAAAUAGGCAAUUUUUUUACAAUUUUAUCUUUAUUUGUAAUUUGAAUUGUCACAAAAUAUUAAUGAUUUAUUUAUUUUUUAUUUUAUUUUUAUUUUUUUAAUAGCUAUUAGAUUUAUUUUAAUUCAAGAUGAAUUUCAAUUCUAAGAAAAAUAUCUCAAGCGUGUAUAUGGUAUUUUAGAUCAUCUUUAUUUUCUUAAUAGGAUUAGAGAGGUAUCAUCCGCAUAUUAUACCAUGAUAUGUUGUCAAUUAGUCAUUGUUAAUUAAAUAGCACUGAUUUAACAAAGCUUUGCUUCUUUAUCAAUCAUGGCAUUGAAUACGUCAAGAAUGAUAAAGAAGAAAUAAGGUAUAAGUGGGCAUCAUUGUUAUAUCCAUCUUUUAAUUUUAAACAAAUUGGAGAGUGAACCAUUAAUUUUUACUCAAACACUUGUAUUAAUAAAUAAUAAACAGAUCAUGUAGAUAGAUUCUAUAGAAAAGCCUAUGAUAGACAUUAUUUGAAGCAAAAGAUCUCAAUCUAUCAUUUUAUAUGCCUUCAAGAAGUCAAGCUUAAGAAAGAAUAGAAGUUAUCUUAACUUUUCUAUUUACACCAUAGUUUCAUGUAUUAGUAAGAAGUUGUUUAGUAUGAACUACAUGGAUAAAAAAACUAACUAGUAUCUACUAUUUUUUUUUCAUAAGUAUGGGCUGUAAGCAUAAUUAUAAAGCUUUUGCAUAUAUUUUGUAUCGAAUAUUGAAGAAAAUAAUUGACUUCUAGUUUGUAAAAUUGCAUUGGAUUUGUCUCUUGUGUGACAAUGAUAUCAUCUCUUGCAUGACAUUAAGUAAUAGAUGGUCAUAAUUUAUGUUCUCUUCUAACAUAACAAAAUAAUAUAAUCGAAUUAUAUUUUAUUAAUUUUUAUAAAUCUUAAAAAUGAUGCCAUAUGAUUCUAGUAAUUUGUCCACAUACAUGUCCUUCAAGGCUACCAUAAAUAUUGCCAAUGUAAAGAAGGUAUGGAAUAUUUCUUUUUUAGCAAUAUCUAACUAAUAAAAAAUGUAGCUAAUUGCUUAGUUUCUUGCACCUUUUGUUGUAAUAGUAGUUGAUUAGAUUGAAUACAAUUGGCUAUAAAAACUUUGAUAGAUAUAAGUAAGAGUGGCUUUGCUAUUAUAGAUCUAGUCAUGCUUGUCAACUAACUUGGUAAUAUUCAAUACUAUAGACUUUUUCUUAUGUACUUGAAAAAUAUUUUUUUGUGCAAAAAUCAUUCAAUUUUUGUUAUUUUAGGCAAGACCAAGUAUUUUAUUUUUUAUUUUUUAUUUUUUUAUUUUAGACAAGAUCAAAUAUUUUAUUCUUUUAUUUUCUAUUUUUUUAUGUUAUUACAAUUGGUUGGUACAAUUGGCCAUCACAAUUUAGCACAUUGCAUUUUUUAGGUCUUAUUGUAAGAUAGUCAUUGUUGUAGCAAGUUGUAGCCAUAAAGAGGCAUCUUCAUGUUGUCAUUUGACCACCUUGUCUAUUUAGUAUAUUUUAUAAAACUUCAAGUAUCAUCAAAGUUUACUAUAAAUAGAUAAAGAUAGAUUUAAAGUCUAUAAGCUUCAAAUCUUAAUUUAAACUAUUUUAUUUGAGAGAUAAUAAAUAUUCAUUAUAUAUGGAAAUAUUUACUUGGCCUUAGGUUGAAACCAUAUAUGUUACCAAACAAAGAAAUAAUUUGAGUGUAGACUAUCGCCUAAUAAUAAGUAAUCAAUACUUGUAGUUACCAAUCUUGGUGAUAUAAAUGGAUAUACACAAUUGAAUCUAGCCAUUGUGUAUGUAUUAUUACUCUAUUAGCUAUUUCAACUAUACUUAGGUCCAUUUAAUAGGAACUUAUUUUUCAAUCUAGAAUAAUAUUGUAAGAAAAGUAAAUAAUCCAUGUUUAUUUUUUAAUAUGAUAGAAUCAUUAAUAUUUGAUUCUUCAGUUAGACUUUUUAUAUAAUAUAAGUCUCUUAUGAAAAUCUAUUAAAAAUCUACUAAAAAUGUGAUUAAUAUUUUUUUCUAUAGUACACAUCAUUUCAUUGUUUAGUAUAGAAUAUAUAUAUUAAGAAUAGCUAUGUUUGCUCUUUGCACCUCAUGUACUUGCUUCUACUAUGUUUGAUCAGUAUUAGAGUGGUUUGAUUGUUCUAUGAGAUGCAAAAUAUAAAAAAAAAAAUCAUAAAUAAAUACUUCUAUUGCUCGCUCCUAUCUUAUGUAUCUUAUUAUUAUAGGCAACAUCUUCUUCUUAAUUAAAGAAACCAGCUUUGAGUUUCAUUUAUUUUUUAAUACUAACAACUUUAUAUCAUAGAGAUUAUGUUUUUGUAUACAAAUAAAAUCUAACUUAGAUAUAUAGGCAUGAAGGUAAUUACAAAAUAUAUCUAUUUUAAUAAAAUCAUUAAGAUUUUUGCUCAUUUUGUAUUGUCACAAAGAUUUUCAUUCAAUAAAAGAAAGAAAAAGAAGAGAUUAAACUUCAUAUUUUAUGUUCAUGAUUCAAUGCACAAAGUCUGCUGAUUUUUCUCUUUGUUGGAAGUAAUAGAAAGAUCUUUAAUGUUGUGAUAAUUUUAUAUAUUGGUUUUUUUUAGCCAUUGUCUUAUUUGAAAAAAGAGUCAGUAUAAGUGAUUUUAACAAGUCAAUUGAUAUUCUUUGCUUCUGUAGCCAUUCAAUAAAAUAUAUAUAUAUAUAUAUAUAUAUAUAUAUAUAUAUGCAAUAAGUUCUCAAUUUGUUCUUUAUGACAGUCAUACUACAUUCUCAAGUGACUAAAAUAUACUCUUUGAUCUAAUAUCAGUUGCAACAAAUUACACUAGAUGUAGAAUUUCUAACAUAUCAAGGUAGCUUUUAUUAUAUACACUCACAAAAAAAGACUAAAAUAUGUGACUUAAUAUAGAUAGAUUAAGUUGGAAGCCAUGGCUAGAGAUGUAUAUAUUAAGGUUUAAAAGGACUAAUUUGUAUCUUUGCUCCCACAAGAUUCUUUAAUCUAAGCUUGAUCUAUGUCAAAUCGAUGUGUAUCAAAAAAGCACAAUGAUCAUUAACAUAUCAUCUUGAGUUCUUGAAUAGUGUCAAAUAAAUAUGGCAAAGGAAGGAGGCUUCAUUUCUUAAUACAUUUGAUAUCAAUGAACUAUUUAUUAAUUAUUCAAUGACAAGUGAGAUCUUUGAAAAUUGUUAAGACUAACUUUUUUACUUCUAAAUAAUAAAAAAAUAAUCAUGAUUAGCUGGUUUAAUCUCCCUCUUCUUCUUAUUUGGAUUAUUAUAAUAUUUUUAAGGCAAUAGUAGAUAUAUUAGUAUGUACUUAGCUAUUCCACUUAUUAUAACUUUUAUUAGAUUUAUUAAGAUCUAAAAAAAUUUUAUAUUAAGUAAUAAUUCAUAUCCUUAUUCUCUUUAUCUUGUCUGCCAUAUUGCCUAGUUUGGAUUUGAUUAUUAUAAGAUUUACUAUGUUGUUCUAAUUAAUUUUUUUUAUUAGGUUGGCAAAGUCCUCAUUUUUUUGUCAAUUGGCCAGAACUAGCAUUAAAACCAAUCAACAAUGUCUAUAAUAGUGGCACUUCUAUUCCUUAAAGAGGUGGUAUAAAAUUUUUUUUGGACACGAGUGGAAUUAUUUGGUUAAUAUGUGUUUGUAGUGUUUGCCAAUAUUGAGAUGUCACUUAAUCUGUUGCCAAAUAGACUUGCAACUAUACUUCUUAUAUAUCUAUUUAUUAUUAUUUUAAUAAUAAUAAGUAUUUUCUAAUAAAAUAAGAUAUAAAGAGACGUGAACUACAUCAUAUUGAGAGAUUAUUGUAAUUAACUUAUAUGUGCAUCAUAUUGCCAUUCACUAAAUUGACUACAUUAAUUGCAAGGUUGUAUGAAAUAUUGGUUAUUAGCGUGAUGCAAAACUUUUGAUUUGUGCCAUAUUUGUUGCUCUAAUCUCUUUCUAAGAUAGCUUUAAGACUUAAAGUACUAUUUCUUAUAUUAUUCUUACAAUUGUGAGAGAAGGCUUUUAGUAUCAUCUAAAUUGGCAUCUUCAUUCUAAUAAGUUGACUAGAUUUAAAUCUUGACUUCUAUAGUUGAAGAAUGCAUGUUAUUUAUCAACUAAUAUGUAAAAUUUGUAUCAUUAUUCUUUAUAAUGCAACCUUGUUCUUACAAACUAUACUAAAAAAUCUAUGACUUAAAUUUUUUUUAAGAUAUUAUUCUUCUUUAAUCUAUGUUUUUAAAAAACUUAAAAAUUUAUGCAUUAUUUUUAUAAAUAAUCUACUAUCAAUAAAAUAGAUUAUUAUUAUAUAUUUUUAUAAAUAUUCUAUCUUCUAUUUAAAUUCUUUUUAUAUAAUCUAAUAUCUAAUACUUAUAUAUUUAAAGUAAAUAAAUAUAAAUACUUAUUAAAUCUUUUAAAAAAUAUUUAUUUGAGAUAAUAUAUAUAAAGAUGAUAUCUAUGAAGUUACCAAGGUUGGAUGUGAGUACCACUAGCUCUAGUUCUAUUGUAUUAUAGUAUUUUACUUGUAUCUUUUAUCUAAAGAAGUAGGAACUAUGGAAUGUAGGUGUCAAGGACACAAAAUUUAAAGAAAAAAAUCCUCAAUAUACUCUUGUGUCAUUCAAAAGAACUAAAAAGUCACUCAAAGAUGGUAAAAUAUUAAAUUAAAAUGGCUAUUGUCAAAAACAAGAAAACCAAAAAGUCUUGAAACAAGACUAAAGACUAGAAAGGCAUUGAUAAGAGUGAAGAAGGCUUUAUUUUUGCCUUUAUAUAUAUUCUUAACCUAGAAACUAUUUGGCAAUAUCUUAAAAAACGUCCAAAACAUGUUGACUUCCAUAAAAUAUAUAUCUUAAUUUGUAAGACAAGUUUUCUAUAUUUACACCACAUAGUUAGCUUGUUUUGUAAGCUAUCAACAUGUGAUUAACUUAUUAGCUAAGUUUAUAUCUUAUCAAUCAAUUAAAAAUAUAUAUAAAAUCAAAUCAAUAUCUAUGAAGCUUUUAAGAAGCUUUUCUAAAAAAUAUUAUGAAAUAAAUCCGUUUUUUACUUAUUUCUACUUAAUCAUAUAGAUAAAUAUUAUAAUAAAUAUGUAUAUCCAUAACAUUACCUCCCUUUCUAAUGACAAGUUGGACAUGUAGUCAUUGUAUAUUGAAGAAACCCAAGUUAUGGCAAAUCAUAUUUGUCACAUACUUUGAUCUUUGUUCUCUUUGUUCUCUUUGAAGAUGUUUGAUAGGUCCUUUCAGGCAUUGAUAGUGUACCAUAUCAAGAUAGAAAGGCCACCUUGUUAUUUGAUCAUUCUUGAAGCCUUUAUAACUCCUUUCAAAUAAAAUAUUUGGAACAUUGUCAAAAGUUGUUUCAAGCUCUAAUAAAAUCACCAAACAUUGGAAGUGUCUUUCAAGGUCACUAUAUCUAACCAUUUAUUCAAGAAAAGAUGUAUUAUUCUUCAGGAUCUUCAUCUCAAUUACAUCAUCUUAAAAGUUGUGACAAUCGCAAUGUUUCAUUUGAUAAGUCAAUAAGUGAUAGCUUUUGAGUUGAAUCUACUGAUCAUUAGUUCUUCAUCUCUUUAGUAUCAUAAAUACAAAAAAGUAUCAAACAAGAGUGGAAGGUAAAAUGCUAUCUUUUCUGGAUUUUAUUUCUUUAUAGCAAAGAUUUGUUAUUCUUCAUCUUGAUUUUGAUGGAAAUUGACAAUGAAAAAUUUCAACUUUCUUUAUUAUAUUUAUAAAAUUCUUUGCUAGCUUCCAUAUGCAUUUAUUAAUAUCAUAUCUGCGCUAAUAAAUAAGAUAUUCUAACACAUUUUGGCACUGUUAAAUUAUGUGAAGAUUUGCUCAAGAUUGUACUAAGCAUCUAAAUAUGGAAGGUAGAAUGGAAAUUACAACAAUAAAAUCCUAACUCUAAUAGAAUAUUAAAUAAAUUCUAAUUAAACCUUAAAAAUUCUAAGCAAGCUUUAAUCAUAUUCAAAAGAAACCUUAAAGAAAUUACAAAAGAAAUUAUAAAAAAUCUUAAAAGAAUUCAAAAAAAACUAUAAUAAAUCUUCAAAGAAUUCCUAAGAAAUUUUAAAGAAAUAUCAAAAUAUUAAAAAAUGCAUCUAAAAUAAAUCUCAACCAAAUCUUAAUUUAAUCUUAGUUAAAAUUCUAAUCGACUUCAAUCAAAUUCAAGGCCAAACCCUAAACUCUAAACUCUAAAACUUAAAUAAAUCUUAAAUCCUAAAUCUUAAGGAAAUAUCAAAUCUUAAAUAAAUCUUUAAUCAAAUCCUAAAUUCUAAUUCAAUCCUAAACUAUAAUCAAAUCUUAAUCAAAUCCUAAGCAAAUCCUAAAUCUUAAAUUUUAAAUCUUAAAUCCUACGCAAAUUCUAAGCAAAUCCUAAAUCCUAAAUCCUAAGCAAAUUCUAAUUCAAACCCUAAAUCUUAGUCCAAUCUAAAAUCUUAAUUAAACCUUAAAUAAAUCAUAAAUCCUAAUCUAAUCUUAAUCCUAAAUCAAACCUUAACCAAAAUCUAACCAACUCCAUCUAAUCUUGGCAUAAUUUAAAACCUCAAUAUCUAUCAAUUAAACUAUUGAUCUUCUUUAAAAUAUUCUAUACUUUUCAAAAAUUAAAUUAACAAAAAGCAUACAAAAUUUGAAGAUAAUUAUAUUUAUCAAAUAGAAGGAAAAUUCUAAAAUUUGCUUGAAUAUUGGCCUCCUACUUCAAUCUAAAUGUUGAACUUCAAGCACCAAUAUCUAUUUUUCAAACCAAUCAAUUAUUCUCAAAUCUCACAUAUGUGUAGCAAAUCAAGUCUAUUAUCUUUAUGCACAAAUUUCACUUUAAUUCAACUAGUAGAAUGCUAAAGAUCUUAGAAAUCCUACCUGUCCCUCAAAGUCCAAUUUCCAAGACCUCAACCUAUUUGAAAUUCAAUAAUCUUCAAUCCAACCAUUCGAUCAAGAUCAAACUUACAACAUAUAUUUUAGACAACUAUUUUAGAUAACUAUUUAUAUAAGUCCUCAAAAUCUAAAGCAUAGAUAUACCAUCAAAUUAACAAAAUUUUCCAAAAUAUAAUACCAUUUUUAUUUUACAUAUUCCAAAAUCAUCCAAAAUAAUUAUAACUUUGCAAAGCUUUUACAAAGUCAUUACAUACUCAAAUCACUCAAAAUUAGUACUUAAAGAAACCAUAUCAAGUCUGCUCAUAAAUCUUAUUCUUUCAUCUACCAAAGAAGCGUGGAGUUCUUAUAGGUGUUUAGUUUUGUACCUCAAGGUCUGAUUUUAAUCUAGAUUGAUAACCAGUCCUCUCCAAGUAUCAAAUUUUGUCUUUUUGAAUUAAUUUUUAUUCAAAUCAUCUUCUAACUUCUUAUAUAUAUUUAUAUUCUUUAUUUUUUUAAUUACCUUAUUUUGUAUUAUUUAUGGUCUUACAAAGUAAGUAGAAGCCUAUUUUAUAAAAAAGUAGUAUUUAUACUUUUAAUUUUACUUUCUUUUAGACUAUUAUAUAUUUUUUAAAAUAAUUUGCUAUAAUAUUUGAAGUAAGAUCUUCUAUAAUAUAAAAAUUUCUUCACCCUUUUCACCUAUUAGUCAUGUUACAGCAUGACAAUGCCACCUUAGUUCUAAAACUUCUUCUACUUUAAAUUCUUCAUUAUUAUCCACUUUUAUAGAGAGAGGUGGUAUUUUUCUUCUUCUUAAGAUAUUUAUUGUCUUAUGUGACUUAAGUAGAGUCAAAUAGAAUAUAAAAUAGAUCUUCAUAGAUUCUAGUAGAUGUAAUCAAUAAGCAAUAGGAUUGAUUUGUUCACUAAUAGGAAAAGGUCCAAGCCUACAAUAGAUAAUUUAUCACAAAGACAAGUAGUCUUGAUAUUUCUACAAAAUAGCCAUACCUUAUUAUCUACAUUAAAUUGUGGUUGUUCUUUACAAUACGCAUUUGCAUUGAUCUUUUUUUGUUCUUGAGCUUCUUUUAAUUGCGUCUUCACAAUUGCAUGUAGUUUCCAUAAACAACUUCUCAAAUCUUUUACUAUAAGAUAUCAAUUUUUAAAAAGUCAAAAGUAUCAAGUCAUGAAUCAUAAUCAUAAUUGAUAAAGAAAGAUGUUUGUUAAGUAGAAGAAUGUACCAAAUUAUUGUACGUAAACUUUACUAAUAGCAAAAGAGUUGUCCAAUCAUCUUGAGGAUAAUUAAUGAUACACCUCAAAUACCACUCCAAAACUUGAUUUAGCCAUUCUGUUUGUCCACGAGUUUGAAGAUAAAAAGCCAAAGAGAGUUCUAUAUCCACUUUUAAUAUUUUAAAAAGGGUUCUCUAAAAUCUUGAUAUAAAUUAAGUUUUCUUAUUUGAUAUAAUAUCUUUGAGUAAUCCAUGAUAAGAAUACAUGUGGUUAAAAAAAAACUUAGUCAUUUUUUCACCUGUGAUAGAUUUUGUACGUAGUGCAAAAUGUGCCAUCUUGGUAAAAAAAUAUACUAUCACAAAAUAUAGAAUCAUACAAACCUGAGAUUAAAAGAUUCAUGAUAAAAUCCAUAGAAAUAAAAAACCAUGGUUUUUUUAGAAUAGGUAAUAGUUGAAAAAAUUCAUAAUGUCGAUGAUGAAGAGUCUUAGAUCUUGAAAAAAUAUCAUAUGAUUGUAUAAAAACUUUGAUUGCCUUCUACAUUUGAGGCCACCAAAAAUCUCUAGAUAUUAGUUCAAAAAUCUUGUUGUAUUCAAAAUGUUCGAUUAUUAAGAAGUUAAGAUAAGUUUGAAGAAUACGUAAUUAUAUUUUGCCUUUUGAAAUAUAUAAUUUUCCUUUAAAGUAAAAUAAAUUAUUCUUAAAUUUGAACUUAAAAAUAUCAUGAGACUUAAAAGAAUUAUUUUUAAUAUCAUGAAGAAGGAAAUCAAAAGACAUACUUGAUUGAAUUUACUUGACAAAGAUUGAAUCAAUAGUCAAUGUUGAUUUUAUUGCUCAAAGAUGAAAAUACUUUGACUUAAAGAAAAUUGUUCUUUGUUUAUCAAAAGCUGCAUCUCCUUCUUUUGGUGCAAAAUAAAGAUGCUUAGAAAGAGCAAUGUGAUAAAUCUUAUCUAAAUCUACAAGUAAUCUUAAGAUCAAAUCUUGAUAAAAACAUACUCUAAUGGGCUUGGUAAUAAUUCAAAACAUGUGCCAAUAUGAACAACUAAAGAUUCUUGUGAUCGGUAUAUAUAAUAAUUCGACUAAAAGCGCCUUUUAGAUAAUGAUGUCAGUUUUCAAAUGAAUCAACAAUUGCAAAACCUCUUUAUUGUGGAUUUUGUAGUUAAUCUCAACUACUAAAAAUUUCCUAGAAUGAAAAGCAAUUGAAUAGAGUUUAUCACCUUCUUCCAUUUGUGAUAAAAUAUGAUCCAUAGUAAAAUCUAAUGCAUCUAUUUCCAUGAAGAACGUCUUAAAAAAAUUGACACAAUACAAAAUUGAUGCAAAAAUAAAUAUUACCUUUAAGGCUUCAAAAGAUGUUUUUUAUUUUUUUGUUCCACUAAAAGUUUGUCUUUAUAUAUUAGAUGUAUAAGAGGAGCCUCAACUUGAGAAAAAUUGUUGAAAAAUAUUUUAUAAUAAUUAAUAAUUCUAAAAAAAUAUUACAUAUCUUUGACUAUUUUUGUAACCUUUCAAUCCAUGAUAGUCUUGACCUUCUUAAGAUCCAUCAUUAAUCCUUUGUUGGAAAUAAUGUAUCUUAGAAAAUCAACUUGAGUAGUAUAAAACACACACUUUUUUAUCUUUGUAUAUAAUCCUACAUCUCUAAGUUUUUGUAAAAUACAAUGAACUUGAAGUUUACAUUCUUUUAUAUUCUUAAAAUAGAUUAGAAUGUUGGCUUAAUAAUGAAUAAUAAUAUUAUUAAAAAAUUCACAAAAGAUAUCAUUCAUGAGAUAUUAAAAAGUAGGUGGUGGAUUUAUGAGUCCAAAAGGUAUGAUAUUAUAUUCAAAAUAUCUAUAUUUAGUUUUAAAAGAAAUCUUCCACUCAUCUUUUUUUUUAAUAUAGACUACAUUGUAUGUUCUUUAUAGAUCUAUUUUUAUAUAGAUCUUUGCUUGAUUGAGUUAGACAAAAAGUCUUGAAAUCAAAGAUAAAAAAUACUUAUUUUUGAUAGUGAUCUUGUUAAGUUCAUGAUAGUCUAUGCUUAUUUACAGAGAUCUAUCUUUUUUCUUUACAAAUAAGAUAAGAGCUCUUGUUAGAAAUUUCGAAUAGCUUAUGAAGUAUUUAGCUAAUUUUUUAUUAAUGAAUUAUUUUACUAGAACUAAUUCAUUUUACAAUAAGCUAUAGAUUGCUUUGAAUGAUGGUUGAACUCCUUCUUAUAGAUCAAUUAUACAAUCAUAGAUUCAAUGCUCUAGAAGAAUAUCUAUCUAUAUAUAUAUAUAUAUAUAUAUAUUUUUUUUUUCAUUGUCUAAAUAUUGAUAUUAUCUAGAAAUAUCAUUUGACAUCUUUUUACUAUCAAAAAUGGAUGUAACAAAUAUAAUAAAAGAUGGCCUUUUAUUUGCCUCAUGCAUAAAAGCUCUUGCACUUAUUAUUAAGGGUUUGGAUGAACUAGACUUAUUUAUUUCUACUUCACUACUAGAAUUUUAAAUUAAACUAUAAAGAAAGUUGAAGUUACAAUAAAUCCAAUCUAUUUGAAGAUUUUAUUUUUCUAAAUACAAUAAUUCUAAAAUAACUAGAUUGGAGGAAGAUCAAAUCAUAUUAAAUAUUACUACCCUAUUAUGAUCUUUAAUUGCUACAUCUAAAGGAGCAGUCUCAUGAGUAACUUCUCGAAAAGACAACAAACAACCAUAUAUGACUUCGACAUGCACAAAUUUGAUUUCCUUGACAGAAGAUAAUUCUUAUUUUUUGACAAAGUUUUCAUCCGUAAAAGAGGAAAAGAGGUUAAGGUUCUUAAAUAUAAUGAUAUAAAAGCAUUGUGAUUUUAGGCUCCUACACAAACAACUAUUUUUUCGUUGUGGUUGCUAACAGUUCUAGAGAACGGAACCGCAUUGGGUAGUCGAUCAGCCUCUCCUCCACAGACAUAUUACGUGAGGUGACAUAUCUAUUCUGGAAUCAUCAGAAGGAGAUGCCUCAAAUUGACCCCGUCCGUGCAUACACCUUUGGGUCACAUUACUUUGCAGAAGUCGAUAUUGUGCUGGCAGCGGACAUGCCUCUGCGCCAGGCACAUGAUAUUGGCGAAUCACUUCAAGACAAACUUGAGUCGCUACCGGAGAUUGAACGAGCUUUUGUUCACCUCGAUUACGAGGUUACUCAUCGACCGGAGCAUGCCUACAGAGAUAAGUGACGAUGCACUAGGCGCACCAAUCCUGGCUUCGAGUCAGCCUUGCCAAGCAAACAACUCCACCCAACUGAUUGCCCCCCUCCCUCUGAAUGAUCUGAACUUCUUAGACUUCAUAACAAAAAGGACUAUCACUGUAAAUACCUGCUGCCCUCUCAAAACAAGAGAUAGGUCCCACAACACGCAGUUUUCAAACCAACUACCUUAAUAAAUGGUUGUGAAUCCAACACAAGCAAAGGAAAGGCAUACCAAAUGCCAUGAUCAAACGCAUCCGAGAAGUACCACAAGGGCUUCGAAAUCAGAUGGAAAACCUAGCGGCAGAAAACAAAUCAGGUUCGAUGUAACGACCAGCAUGUGAUUGAACAUGUCCACUUAAUACGAUUGAUGUAACCAAAUGCUCCAUAAACAGUCAAUAAACUUGGUUAGACGGACACGCUAGUUGCAUAUCCUCGAA
rnacentral:lncRNA from 1 species